UUACGAACAUAUCACGUUGAAAUUACUGGUUGCCAUACAAUUACCGAAGUUAAGCAACAUCGAACCUGGUCAGUACUUAGAUAGACGACCGCUUGGGAAUACCUGGUACUGUAA